CCUAAGAGAUACGUGUUAUGUGAAGUGCUCACACAGAUUGUUUGAUGAAGAACGAGCAAAAGCGCGUCUGCGAAGCUGACAGAAGUCCCCUUCGUCUAGAGGCCUAGGACACCGCCCUUUCACGGCGGUAACAGGGGUUCGAAUCCCCUAGGGGACGCCAAUGCGCGGUAUGAGUGAAAGGCGUACCACUUAUCUGACGAGAGUCAGAGAAUAACUAAGCUAAUUCAAACGAGUUAUCUUACUUAUUAUGCUCUUUAACAAUCUGGAACAAGCUGAAAAAUUGAAAACAAAUCAAUAUAUCACCGAGGUAUAUUGGUGAGUCUCUCAAAAUCUCAAACCUUAAAGUUUGUCACACAAAGUUUAUCUUUGAAAAAGACACUUUCGGGUUGUGA
rnacentral:misc_RNA from 1 species